rnacentral:snoRNA from 1 species
AAGACUAUACUUUCAGGGAUCAUUUCUAUAGUUUCUGACUUGAGAAAUGUGUUUCUAAAGUGUAGGGUCUCAUUAACCAUGAUGCUGAGGUGUGACAUUUCCUUCUGAGCAUGAAGCUGAUGGGGAAUUACGCUUUUCAUAUUUGUUUUAUCACUGAUGACUGUUCUUUGCUAUCUUGUUGGGCAUUGAGGAAGGGAAUAUGAUCAGAGUGGU